rnacentral:rRNA from 1 species
GUGGGGAAUAUUGGGCAAUGGGCGAAAGCCUGACCCAGCAACGCCGCGUGAAGGAAGAAGGUUUUCGGAUCGUAAACUUCUAUCCUUGGUGAAGAUAAUGACAGUAGCCAAGAAGGAAGCCCCGGCUAACUACGUGCCAGCAGCCGCGGUAAUACGUAGGGGGCAAGCGUUGUCCGGAAUGAUUGGGCGUAAAGGGCGCGUAGGCGGCCCGGUAAGUCUGAAGUGAAAGUCCUGCUUUUAAGGUGGGAAUUGCUUUGGAUACUGUCGGGCUUGAGUGCAGGAGAGGUAAGCGGAAUUCCCGGUGUAGCGGUGAAAUGCGUAGAGAUCGGGAGGAACACCAGUGGCGAAGGCGGCUUACUGGACUGUAACUGACGCUGAGGCGCGAAAGUGUGGGGAGCAAACAGGAUUAGAUACCCUGGUAGUCC